rnacentral:rRNA from 1 species
AUGCAGUGCGGCGAAACCAAUCAGCAAUGGCCGCCGCCGCCGCCAGGCGCCAGCCUCCCGCCGGACAUGCUGGCCAACAUUCACGGCCGGCUGAGCCUCCUCGACCGCCUGUCCUUCGCCGCCGUCUUCCACACCUCGCGCGCCGCUUUCAGGCCGGAGGCGCCGUGGCUCGUCCUGCCCGGCGACACCCGAGAGACCGCCACACUCUUCUCCCUCUCUGACCGCGGUGCCGCCACCGCGCGCGCGCAGUGGGCCGACCACGUCGUCCUGGGAUCCACCUCCCGCUGCUGGCUCGUCACCGCCGACGACGAGGCCCGGCUGCGCCUCGUCAACCCGGUCACCGGGGAGCGGUGCGCGCUCCCGGCCAUCACCACCAUCCCCGGCCUCAUCGAGAAGUGGGGUGGCUUCACGAUGGUCGAUCAAAAAGAGUUCCUCAGGGGUCCCCCAUACCCCGGCGGGGGCGACCGCCGGCCAGUUGGGACGUAUACGAUUCGUGCCGACCUGAUGCGUCACUUUUUCUAUCGAAAGGUCGUUGUCUCUGAUUGCGCCGCCAUGCUGAUCACCACACCGCAACUCGGCGUCCCGGCCUUCGCCACAGCGGAGGGCGGCGAGUGGAGGCUGGCGCCCUCGCGCGACGGCGUCGAGGACGCCAUACACUACAACGGCAAGUUCUACUCCAUCACCUACAAGGGCGGCGUGGAGGUGUGGGAGCAAAGCCCCGAUGCCACCGGCAUGUUCACCAGCGCGGUGAUCGCGCCAAGGCUGCCCAAUGCGGAUGGUGAUCCGUGGUCAUGCCGCAAGUACCUCGUCGCGGCGCCGGGCGGGAGGCUGAUGGUGGUGCUCGAGGACUCCAAGGAGAUCAGGGACGAAUACGACGGUCGUCUUAUUAGGACAUGCUCCUUCAAGGUGCAGAUCCUUGAUGCCGACGGCGAGCAGUGGAAGGAAACGGAUGACAUCGGCGAUGCUGCUCUGUUCGUCGGGGUGAACAGUUCGAUGUGCGUGUCGACGAGGGAGCACCCAGAGAUCAGGGCCGGCUGCGUCUACUACACCAAGAACGAUGUGGGGCCGUGCAAUGACGCGUAUGAUCAGAGUGGCGUCGGGGUGUUCAACCUCAAGGAUGGCAGGGCGGAGAAGGUCCAGGGCCUCGGGCAGCACCGGAACUGGCCACCGCCGGCAUGGUUCAUUCCUUCCAUCCAAUGA